GACGUAGGGCGCGAGCGUUGUCCGGAUUUAUUGGGCGUAAAGAGCUCGUAGGCGGCUUGUCGCGUCGAAUGUGAAAUCUCAGGGCUCAACUCUGACAUUGCAUUCGAUACGGGCAGGCUAGAGUUCGGUAGGGGAGACUGGAAUUCCUGGUGUAGCGGUGAAAUGCGCAGAUAUCAGGAAGAACACCCGUGGCUAAGGCGGCUCUCUAGUACGGUACUGACGCUGAGACGCGAAAGCGUGGGGAGCGAACAGG
rnacentral:rRNA from 1 species